CCAGGGUUAUGUCAAAAAUUAGAUAAGAUGAAAAGUAAGUUAUAGUAUUAGAAUGGCACCCAAUACAUAGUUUGGAAUUUUUUAAAAUGUCAGCUAUUAUGAUGAUAACAAUGGUGGCUUACAAGACCUUUGACCAUCUGGCUUCCCUCUCCAAGCAUGCCAAAUUAAUCACACUUCUUAAACACAUCUCUUGACCGGGGUGUUCUCACCAUGCCCUUUCUACAAACAAAAAGUCCUACAAGAGUUGGAGCCAUCCUCUCCUCAUCUUCUACUUUCUGCCUUCUUCUGGGACACGCUAUUGAUCACGAAGUAUCUUAUCCUUGAAAAAUCUCCUCUCUUCAACUCGAGUACUACUGCAGAAAGCAGCAACUUGGCGGCCUUUUAUGGAUGGGUGUUACUGAAGAAGGCAAUGUAUCGCAUCCUGUAUUACCUUCCCCUGACCUCAUAGCUUCCCAAAACAGGAACAAUCAUGGGCUUUGAAGUAAAGAAUGAAGAUGUGGAGACCUGGAGACAGGUGGCACCUCGUGCUUCCUCCGAAGGGAGAGCCCAUUUCCUAACAGCUGGAUCAAAGGCAUGAAAUGAACAUGGAGUCCCUGAAGAUGAAGAGAAGGCAUGGCUUCCAGGGAGAAAUUGUACAUUACAGGAAUGCAGAUGUGAUUCCUAUGGAUGAGGGUAACCUAGAGGCUAGAAGAACAAUAGGACAGAAGAAGCCUGGGUCCCUGAACAACCUUGUGGAGCAUAGACACCUACGUGGCCUGGACUGCCAGCUCACAAUGGGCCUCUCUGUGAGAGAAGGAAACUUCCCUCUUGUUUAAGCAACUGUGCUUUUGAGAAUCUCUUGGUCUAUACCCUAAUGAAUAAGGCCAUCAUAAAUGGAUAUCAAAGUAAG
rnacentral:lncRNA from 1 species